rnacentral:rRNA from 1 species
CCUACGGGAGGCAGCAGUGAGGAAUAUUGGUCAAUGGACGCAAGUCUGAACCAGCCAAGCCGCGUGCAGGAAGACGGCUCUAUGAGUUGUAAACUGCUUUUGUACGAGGGUAAACGCAGAUACGCGUAUCUGUAUGAAAGUAUCGUAUGAAUAAGGAUCGGCUAACUCCGUGCCAGCAGCGGCGGUAAUACUGAGGAUUCGAGCGUUAUCCGGAUUUAUUGGGUUUAAAGGGUGCGUAGGCGGUCGGAUAAGGUAGCGGUGAAAUCCCGAGGCUCAACUUCGGAACUGCCUCUGAUACUGGUCGGCUAGAGAGUGGGUGCGGUAGGCGGAAUUUAUGGUGUAGCGGUGAAAUGCUUAGAGAUCAUGCAGAACACCGAUUGCGAAGGCAGCUUACCAAGGUACUUCUGACGUUGAGGCACGAAAGCGUGGGGAGCAAACAGGAUUAGAUACCCGAGUAGUC